rnacentral:rRNA from 1 species
UACGUAGGGUGCAAGCGUUGUCCGGAAUUAUUGGGCGUAAAGAGCUCGUAGGCGGUUUGUUGCGUCGGCUGUGAAAUCCCGAGGCUCAACCUCGGGUCUGCAGUCGAUACGAGCAAACUAGAGUGUUGCAGGGGAGACUGGAAUUCCUGGUGUAGCGGUGAAAUGCGCAGAUAUCAGGAGGAACACCGGUGGCGAAGGCGGGUCUCUGGGCC